GAAAUUAUAUUCCAACGAUGCAAAAUAUAGACUUAACCACCCAAAAAAAGCAGAUUGAAAUCUUUACUCUUUUGACAUAUAAAACCCCAACAAACACACUGCAAACUGCUUCUUCCCAGCCAAUUUCUGAUACAUAGUCAGCUAAAACCUUUGUCUUUUUUGUGUGUUUCUUUUCAGUUUGCAAAUAUGAGUGGCCCCAAGUAUGCUUAUCCCUACCCUGCUCAAGGUUAUUAUCAAGGGCCUCCAGUGAUGGCACCACCACAAUAUUAUGCUCCACCACCAAGACGAGAGCCUGGAUUCCUUGAGGGCUGUCUUGCAGCUUUGUGUUGCUGCUUUCUCAUCGAUGAAUGUUGCUGUGAUCCAUCCAUCAUCUUGGUGACCUGAUAAUAUCUGUAAUUGCACUGCAUCCGAAAUUUCACUUCUAUGUUUAUUGUGAUAUAUAUGUAUGAAGACAGUGUAAUGGAGUGAUGUUGAUCUUAUGGAAUCUGUUUAGUAAUUUACAAUAAUAAUAAUAUUGGUAUGUGUUUUUUAUUUUGUGGUUUGGACUUCUAGGUCAUUCCUUGAAGUUGCUGUGCCUUUUAUCCUUGUAAUUCUGUUAAGAAAUGAAGACAAUAUGCUUCCGGUAAUCUAGUCUCCAGACUUUUUUUUUUU